rnacentral:tRNA from 1 species
GCCCCGGUAGCUCAGUGGAUAGAGCAGUCCCCUCCUAAGGGACAGGUCGCACGUUCGAUUCGUGUCUGGGGCGCCA